AACAGGGAUUGCCCUAGUAACGGCGAGUGAAGCGGCAACAGCUCAAAUUUGAAAUCUGGCCUCGGCCCGAGUUGUAAUUUGCAGAGGAUGCUUCUGGCGCGGUGCCUUCCGAGUUCCCUGGAACGGGACGCCACAGAGGGUGAGAGCCCCGUAUGGUCGGACACCAAGCCUGUGUGAAGCUCCUUCGACGAGUCGAGUAGUUUGGGAAUGCUGCUCUAAAUGGGAGGUAAAUCUCUUCUAAAGCUAAAUACCGGCCAGAGACCGAUAGCGCACAAGUAGAGUGAUCGAAAGAUGAAAAGCACCUUGAAAAGGGGGUUAAAUAGUACGUGAAAUUGUUGAAAGGGAAGCACUUAUGACCAGACUUGGGCCGGGCGGCUCAUCAGGGGUUCUCCCCUGUGCACUCCGCCCGGCACAGGCCAGCAUCGGUUCUCGUGGGGGGAUAAGACCGUCAGGAACGUAGCACCCUCCGGGGUGUGUUAUAGCCUGGCGGACGAUACCCCCGUGGGGACCGAGGUCCGCGCUCCGCAAGGAUGCUGGCGUAAUGGUCAUCAGUGACCCGUCUUGAAACACGGACCAAGGAGUCGUCCAUUAGAGCGAGCGUUUGGGUGUAAAACCCGCACGCGUAAUGAAAGUGAACGCAGGUGAGAGCUUCGGCGCAUCAUCGACCGAUCCUGAUGUUCUCGGAAGGAUUUGAGUAAGAGUUUUAACGGACGGACCCGAAAGACAGUGAACUAUGCUUGUAUAGGGUGAAGCCAGAGGAAACUCUGGUGGAGGCUCGCAGCGGUUCUGACGUGCAAAUCGAUCGUCAAAUAUGAGCAUGGGGGCGAAAGACUAAUCGAACUGUCUAGUAGCUGGUUACCGCCGAAGUUUCCCUCAGGAUAGCAGUGUUGAUCUUCAGUUUUAUGAGGUAAAGCGAAUGAUUAGGGACUCGGGGGCUAUAUAUUGCCUUCAUCCAUUCUCAAACUUUAAAUAUGUAAGAAGCCCUUGUUACUUAAUUGAACGUGGGCAUUCGAAUGUACCAACACUAGUGGGCCAUUUUUGGUAAGCAGAACUGGCGAUGCGGGAUGAACCGAACGCGGGGUUAAGGCGCCAGAGUGUACGCUCAUCAGACACCACAAAAGGCGUUAGUACAUCUGACAGCAGG
rnacentral:rRNA from 1 species